CUGCCCAUAGCUCAGUUGGAUAGAGCAUUAGCCUUCUAAGCUAAGGGUCGCUGGUUCGAAUCCAGCUGGGCAGGCCA
rnacentral:tRNA from 1 species